rnacentral:rRNA from 1 species
AUCGCUAGUAAUGGCGCAUCAGCUACGGCGCCGUGAAUACGUUCCCGGGCCUUGUACACACCGCCCGUCACAUCAUGGAAGUCGCUUGUAGCCGAAGCCGGCGCGCUAACCCGCAAGGGAGGCAGCUUUCUACGCUAUGAGCGGUAACUGGGAUGAAGUCGUAACAAGGUAGCCGUAGGGGAACCUGCGGCUGGAUCACCUCCUUUCUAAGG